rnacentral:rRNA from 1 species
AACGAACGCUGGCGGCAGGCUUAACACAUGCAAGUCGAGCGCAUCCUUCGGGGUGAGCGGCGGACGGGUGAGUAACGCGUGGGAACGUGCCCUCUUCUACGGAAUAGCCUCGGGAAACUGAGAGUAAUGCCGUAUACGCCCGCAAGGGGAAAGAUUUAUCGGAGGAGGAUCGGCCCGCGUUGUUUUAGGUUGGUGGGGGGGUAACGGCCUACCAAGCCGACGAUCCAUAGCGGGUUUGAGAGGAAGAUCAGCCACACUGGGACUGAGACACGGCCCAGACUCCUACGGGAGGCAGCAGUGGGGAAUCCUGGACAAUCGCGGCAACCCUGAUCCCGCCAUGCCGCGUGAUCGAUGAAGGCCUUAGGGUUGUAAAGAUCUUUCAGCUGGGAAGAUAAUGACGGUACCAGCAGAAGAAGCCCCGGCUAACUCCGUG